GGAGUCGGCCAGGCAAUCGCUGCGCGCAAGCGUGGAGGAAAGUCCGGGCUCCCAGGGCAAGGUGCCAGGUAACACCUGGGGGGCGCGAGCCCACGGAAAGUGCAACAGAAAGCAAACCGCCUAAGCGCUGUUUUCGUGACGGCGCCGGUAAGGGUGAAAGGGUGCGGUAAGAGCGCACCGCGCCGGUGGCAACACUCGGCGGCACGGCAAACCCCGCCCGGAGCAAGACCAAAUAGGGGAGCAAGCAGCCCAUUCUCAGGAGUGGGUCGCACGUGCGGCCCGCACAGGCUCCCGGGUAGGUCGCUUGAGGUGCGCGGUAACGUGCAUCCCAGAUGAAUGAUUGCCCUCGACAAAACCCGGCUUAUCGGCCGACUCCAUUU
rnacentral:RNase_P_RNA from 1 species